rnacentral:rRNA from 1 species
GUAGGAUAGGUGGGAGGCUUUGAAGUGUGGACGCCAGUCUGCAUGGAGCCGACCUUGAAAUACCACCCUUUAAUGUUUGAUGUUCUAACGUUGACCCGUAAUCCGGGUUGCGGACAGUGUCUGGUGGGUAGUUUGACUGGGGCGGUCUCCUCCUAAAGAGUAACGGAGGAGCACGAAGGUUGGCUAAUCCUGGUCGGACAUCAGGAGGUUAGUGCAAUGGCAUAAGCCAGCUUGACUGCGAGCGUGACGGCGCGAGCAGGUGCGAAAGCAGGUCAUAGUGAUCCGGUGGUUCUGAAUGGAAGGGCCAUCGCUCAACGGAUAAAAGGUACUCCGGGGAUAACAGGCUGAUACCGCCCAAGAGUUCAUAUCGACGGCGGUGUUUGGCACCUCGAUGUCGGCUCAUCACAUCCUGGGGCUGAAGUAGGUCCCAAGGGUAUGGCUGUUCGCCAUUUAAAGUGGUACGCGAGCUGGGUUUAGAACGUCGUGAGACAGUUCGGUCCCUAUCUGCCGUGGGCGCUGGAGAACUGAGGGGGGCUGCUCCUAGUACGAGAGGACCGGAGUGGACGCAUCACUGGUGUUCGGGUUGUCAUGCCAAUGGCACUGCCCGGUAGCUAAAUGCGGAAGAGAUAAGUGCUGAAAGCAUCUAAGCACGAAACUUGCC